UCCGGUUUGACACCGGCAGUCUCGCUAGAGUGCCCAGCAUUACCUGAUGGCAACUAACGACGAGGGUUGCGCUCGUUGCGGGACUUAACCCAACAUCUCACGACACGAGCUGACGACAGCCAUGCAGCACCUGUUUUCUGGGCCCCGAAGGGCACUCCCGUAUCUCUACAGGAUUCCAUCAAUGUCAAGUCUGGGUAAGGUUCUGCGCGUUGCGUCGAAUUAAACCACAUGCUCCACCGCUUGUGCGGGCCCCCGUCAAUUCCUUUGAGUCUCAGUCUUGCGACCGUACUCCCCAGGCGGCGAACUUAACGCGUUAGCUUCGAUACUGCGUGCCAAAUUGCACCCAACAUCCAGUUCGCAUCGUUUAGGGCGUGGACUAC
rnacentral:misc_RNA from 1 species